GUUCAACCACAUUAAAUUUAACUUUAGAUUGAAUUCCCUCCAAGAUCAAAAGCGCCACCCACCCUAAAAUUAGGUUUAGAUUUUAAAUAGAGUUCCCCACUCCCCCCUAGUUCAUUUUUUUUAGAUCGAUGUAUUCCCCUAAUUCAUUUAUUUUGUAUGUGUAAUCGUGAAUCACAUAGUUGGAGCUGAGAAAAAGGGACAUAGGCGAGAAUAUGAAGGGAGUCAAUGUAAAACACACGAGAGAGUUCCAUCUUAUUGUGUAUCGAUCUUUGUUUUUUUGGAAACGAUUGUCAAAUCUGAAACAUGAACACAAUCAUCGAUGAUAUCUGAAAUAUCGAAGGUUUAUACACACUUUUAGGAAAAACUACAUGUGUUGAAGGACUAGACUAACAGAGGGUUUCAAGAGCUUGUUAGAGAACUUAAAUAAGAAGGUGUUACACUAUGUUGUAUACAUAAAGUAAAUGGUUUGGUUAACUUCACGAAGGCAAAUACAUUCCAUUAUGAGUAUAGCUCCAAGGCCUCCAUAAUUGAAGUGGUUAAACCAUUUUCGAAGUCAAUCAAGUUUUGUGUUUCCUCCUCUAACAAGUAUUUAAUUCAAUAGUAUUAUGUAUUGUGUAGUAGCACACCAUUUAGAAUUAUUACACUUUUUGAAGAAAUUUGUGGUUUAUAUGAAUAUUGUUUUUAGACAAGUCUGAAUUUAUGU